rnacentral:miRNA from 2 species
UUUGGCACUGGUACUUUGGAGU